GACGAACGCUGGCGGCGUGCUUAACACAUGCAAGUCGAGCGGAAAGGCCCUUUCGGGGGUACUCGAGCGGCGAACGGGCGAGUAACCCGUGAGUAAUCUGCCCCUGGCUUUGGGAUAGCCACCGGAAACGGUGAUUAAUACCGGAUACGAUCACUUCUUGCAUGGGAUGGUGGUGGAAAGUUUUUCGGCCAGGGAUGUGCUAGCGGCCUGUCAGCUUGAUGGUGAGGUAAUUGCUCACCAUGGCUUCGACGGGUAGCCGGCCUGAGAGGGUGACCGAUCACACUGGGACUGAGACACGGCCCAGACUCCUACGGGAGGCAGCAGUGGGGAAUAUUGGACAAUGGGCGGAAGCCUGAUCCAGCAACGCCGCGUGAGGGGUGACGGCCUUCGGGUUGUAAACCUCUUUCAGCAGGGACGAAGCGCAAGUGACGGUACCUGCAGAAGAAGCACCGGCCAACUACGUGCCAGCCGCCGCCGUAA
rnacentral:rRNA from 1 species